UUGUAUGACUGUAACCUCCACCUCUCUGUCCUGCCCCACCCCUCCCUCUCUCUGCCUCCCCAGGUUUCAGACACAAUCCUUGGGCUACAGCAGUCCAUCGCUGGGCCCCUGACUACUAUGGAGGAGUGUUUACAGGCAGUAAGCCUUAUUGGUGUCCACCCGGAACCUGUAGGAGACUGUCAGAGAACGUGGUGUCCCUGCUCACCUCUCUGACAAUGGCUCGCUCCUCUCGACGGGGGUGCCUGGUGGAACAGCAGUAACAAUAGCGGAGCUCCUCCCAUAGCAGCCCUCACCCCUGUGCCCCCCUCCAUGGCCCCCACAGUGGCACCAGUCGGAGGGGUCAUGCCAAGCCCCUUCUCCCCUGGCUGGGCAGCCAACACACUGAUGGUCAACGAGGACUACAGGUGGCUGUCCUACGUGCUGCUUUUGCUGUUGGACCUCCUAGUGUGUCUGUUCAUCCUGCUGGGGCUAGCCAAACAGGCCCGCUGGCUCCUCAUCCUGUAAGCACGCACACACACACACACACACACACACACACACAGACACACAGACCGACAGUUAAACCCUGUGUGUUGUAUUGCAUCGAACAACACUGAGUUUGUAAUGCUCUGUGACUCUGUGUUAUAUAGGCUGUGUAAUAUAUGAUGGUUCCUAGGAGGUGUGUUUGGUGUUUCGCUGACCUCUAUGUGUGUGUGGUUUUUCUCCUCCCAGGAUGACGGUGCUGGCCUGGCUGGCUCUGUUCCUGAGCUGGGGAUCCCUGGGCCUGGAGACUGCUACUGUGGUGGUGAGUACUGACGGAUAAAGGGAGGAGAGGUGGAGGGGUGGUGUGUGUUGUUGAGGGGAAGGGAGGGAGUUGAUCGMUCAUGGCUGGCUAGAGAGUAUCUCAGGAAUGUCUUAAAGAAGUCCCGGCCAGAGCAGAACAGAAUGGCUGUGUACUUCUGUUGGUGUCUGUCUGCAUGUGUGUGUAUGUGUUUCUGUAUUGCAUUCAGUGUGUCUCUGUGCCCCUUGUGCUAAACUGUGAAAAGACUGGCCUCCUAGGGAACACUGCAGUCAUGGCAGGGGACCAAGAAGGAGGGAAAAUGGGGCAGAAAUUAGUGUGUAGGUGUGUUCUGUGUAUUUUCUGUGUGUUUGUGAGCAGUGUGUGG
rnacentral:lncRNA from 1 species